rnacentral:rRNA from 1 species
AACGAACGCUGGCGGCAUGCCUAACACAUGCAAGUCGAACGAGACCUUCGGGUCUAGUGGCGCACGGGUGCGUAACGCGUGGGAACCUGCCCUUAGGUUCGGAAUAACUCCCCGAAAGGGGUGCUAAUACCGGAUAAUGUCUUCGGACCAAAGAUUUAUCGCCUUUGGAUGGGCCCGCGUUGGAUUAGCUAGUUGGUAGGGGAAAAGCCUACCAAGGCGACGAUCCAUAGCUGGUCUGAGAGGAUGAUCAGCCACACUGGGACUGAGACACGGCCCAGACUCCUACGGGAAGCAGCAGUGGGGAAUAUUGGACAAUGGGCGAAAGCCUGAUCCAGCAAUGCCGCGUGAGUGAUGAAGGCCUUAGGGUUGUAAAGCUCUUUUACCCGGGAUGAUAAUGACAGUACCGGGAGAAUAAGCGCCGGCUAACUCCGUG